rnacentral:rRNA from 1 species
AGAAGCAAUACCGCGAGGUGGAGCAAAACUUCAAAAAUAGGUCUCAGUUCGGACUGUAGGCUGCAACUCGCCUACACGAAGUUGGAAUUGCUAGUAAUCGUGGAUCAGCAUGCCACGGUGAAUACGUUCCCGGGUCUUGUAUACACCGCCCGUCACACCAUGGGAGCUGGUAACACCCGAAGUCAGUAGUCUAACCGCAAGGAGGACGCUGCCGAAGGUGGGAUUAGCGACUGGGGUGAAGUCGUAACAAGGUACC